GAGCAGAUGAUGAGAGACAUUAGUAUUUGUAUACUGAUAACUCCAUGAAGCUAUCAAUAAUCGAGCUUUUUAAAACUGAUGCUCA